UACGGGGGGGGCAAGCGUUGUUCGGAAUUACUGGGCGUAAAGGGCUCGUAGGUGGCCAACUAAGUCAGACGUGAAAUCCCUCGGCUUAACCGGGGAACUGCGUCUGAUACUGGAUGGCUUGAGUUCGGGAGAGGGAUGCGGAAUUCCAGGUGUAGCGGUGAAAUGCGUAGAUAUCUGGAGGAACACCGGUGGCGAAGGCGGCAUCCUGAACCGACACUGACACUGAGGAGCGAAAGCCAGGGGAGCAAACGGG
rnacentral:rRNA from 1 species